ensembl:snRNA U1 U1 spliceosomal RNA
AUCAAGUCCUGGCAGGGGCGAUACCAUGAUCACGAAGGUGGUUCACCGAGGGCGAUGCUCGGCCAUUGCACUUUGGUUGUGCUGACACUUGCGAAUUCCCCAAAUGAGGGAAUCUUGACUGCAUAAUUUCUGGUAGUGGGGGACUGCAUCCGCGCUGUCCCCUG